GGAGGGGUGUCCGAGCGGCUUAAGGUGAUUGACUCGAAAUCAAUUGUGCAGAGAUGCACCGGGGGUUCAAAUCCUCUCCCCUCCGCCA
rnacentral:tRNA from 1 species